rnacentral:snRNA from 1 species
AUCUUUGCGCUUGGGGCAAUGACGCAGCUAAUGAGGUUCUAACCGAGGCGCGUCUAUUGCUGGUUGAAAACUAUUUCCAAACCCCCUCUUAGGCUUGGGUUUAUCCCUAGCCUUCGAGAAUUUCUGGAAGGGCUCCCUUUGGGGUAAAGCC